rnacentral:lncRNA from 1 species
AAGCUGUUAAAUUUGUAGUGAUUUGUUAUGCAGCAAUGGAUGACUAGUAUAAUGGAUCAACUCACUUAAAUUUGGGAACUUCAGGUAACUCCCAAGAGCAUUCAUUUAAUCUAGAAAGUUGAGGGCUUUACAGAAGAGAAGAAUAUGUGCCAGGACUUAGGGAUUAUUCUGUGAAAGAGAAAUAGCAUUAACAAAGUGACAACAUGGAAAGAAACAUGAAAAUAGCCUGCUGAAAGAAUUCACUUUGAAAAUGCCACAAAACAGACAAUGGAAAAAUGAGGGUCAUCAGAACUACAUCUUCCUAAGAGGGAAAGAAACACCCAAUAACAUCUUGGCAGGUGCUGCAUAAUCAUGCCUCAAAUGACUUUCUGAAGAUAAAAAGAAAGUGGUACUUGCUUGCAUAACUGAACAUAUCUGCCUGAGUUGUUUUCCUACAGAUGUUAUCCUGGGAAUAGAAACAAAAUUGUUCAUUCCCUAGCAGCCUUCAAGAAGCACUGUGAUCUAGGGCAGCACAGAGCCAGCAAUGAGAGACAGAAUGACAUUCACAAUUCUAGAAGAAAACACUGGAGUGGAAUAUACACAGAAUGGCUGUUUGGUCUCAAGACUGCAUGAAUUAUUAUCCGGCUAUGCUGGAUGUUCUAAUUCCUUUCUCUCAGAGGACUGUAGGUAGAUACAUAUGCUGACUACAUAUGUGGAUAACACUGUCGAA